rnacentral:rRNA from 1 species
AGCUAAUACAUGCUAAAAACCUCGACUUCGGAAGGGGUGUAUUUAUUAGAUAAAAAACCAAUGCCCUUCGGGGCUCCUUGGUGAUUCAUAAUAACUUAACGAAUCGCAUGGCCUUGCGCCGGCGAUGGUUCAUUCAAAUUUCUGCCCUAUCAACUUUCGAUGGUAAGGUAGUGGCUUACCAUGGUCUCAACGGGUAACGGGGAAUUAGGGUUCUAUUCCGGAGAGGGAGCCUGAGAAACGGCUACCACAUCCAAGGAAGGCAGCAGGCGCGCAAAUUACCCAAUUCUGAUUCAGAGAGGUAGUGACAAUAAAUACUGAUACGGGGCUCUUUCGGGUCUCGUAAUUGGAAUGAGUACAAUCUAAAUCCCUUAACGAGGAACAAUUGGAGGGCAAGUCUGGUGCCAGCAGCCGCGGUAAUUCCAGCUCCAAUAGCGUAUAUUAAAGUUGUUGCCGUUAAAAAGCUCGUAGUUGAACCUUGGACCUGGCUGAUCUGUCCUCCUAAUCGAGCGUACGGAUUCGGUCGGGUCUUUUCUUCUGGGGAGCCUUAUGCCCUUUACUGGGUGUAAUGGGGAACCAGGACUUUUACCUUGAAAAAAUUAGAGUGUUCAAAGCAGGCCUUUGCUCGAAUACAUUAGCAUGGAAUAAUAGAAUAGGACAUCGGUUCUAUUUUGUUGGUUUCUAGGACCGCUGUAAUGAUUAAUAGGGAUAGUCGGGGGCGUCCGUAUUCAAUUGUCAGAGGUGAAAUUCUUGGAUUUAUUGAAGACGAACUACUGCGAAAGCAUUCGCCAAGGAUGUUUUCAUUAAUCAGUGAACGAAAGUUAGGGGAUCGAAGACGAUCAGAUACCGUCGUAGUCUUAACCAUAAACUAUGCCGACUAGGNNNNNNNNNNNNNNNNNNNNNNNNNNNNNNNNNNNNNNNNNNNNNNNNNNGAAAUCAAAGUGUUUGGGCUCGGGGGGGAGUAUGGUCGCAAGGCUGAAACUUAAAGAAAUUGACGGAAGGGCACCACAAGGCGUAAACAGCCGUAGUUAACUCUGCGCCGAACAGGCACCUAGACAUAAAUAGGUCGUGGAUAGUCCUCCACCUCUGGUGGGAAAAAGCCUAGUUAUACCUUACUACUUCCCUGGGAGUGAACAGGGCAUGUUGUGCUAAGGUUGGCGAGACCGUCAAAUUGCGGGGAACCUUCUUAACCACCGACUACCGCUGGCCAGACCGAAAGGUUGGUUAAGCACCCGGGUAACACCCAGGGGUAUGGUCAUAAUGUUCGUGGUGAAGCUAUCCGCAGCUAAGCUCCUACGGGGCAGUAAAUCUUUUACUGCCUACGGAGAAAGUUCAGAGACUAGACGGCGGUCGGUCCCAGGGGAAACGCUUUCCCAACGGGGCUUAAGGUAUAGUCCGCUUACUACAUUGCACAAGCAACCGUUAAUAAAUGGGAGCCUGCGGCUUAAUUUGACUCAACACGGGGAAACUCACCAGGUCCAGACAUGCUUAGGAUUGACAGAUUGAUAGCUCUUUCUUGAUUGUAUGGGUGGUGGUGCAUGGCCGUUCUUAGUUGGUAAGUUUUAACCCUGUUUUCUUUACGCGAAAUCUUUUAACUAACGUUUUUAUAGGUGGAGUGAUUUGUCUGCUUAAUUGCGAUAACGAACGAGACCUUGACCUGCUAAAUAGCCCGAUUGACUUUUGUCGGUCGCUGGCUUCUUAGAGGGACUUUUGGCUCAAGCCAAUGNNNNNNNNNNNNNNNNNNNNNNNNNNNNNNNNNNNNNNNNNNNNNNNNNNAGUACGAGGCAAUAACAGGUUAACCUUAUGGGUUACGUGCAAACCAUAUCACAGGCCUGAGGAGGGGCCUCGUACAUUGAUUCCAUAGGGGUUUAAUUAGUUCCCCGUUAUCAAAAACUACCUUCUAGUUGAUCCUCAGUCCUCCUGGUAGAAGUCUACUGUAGUCGGGGGAGGGCACCUUUCGGUGUAUGAGGCAGCGAGACAACCUGGUUCAUGGAACGGCCACUGGCCCGAUCAUGAUGCGAGCAGGAGUAGCGUCCUGCCGCGGCAACGCGUGCAAAGGUGUCGGUUCCGUCGUUAAGAUGGGGCUUAAGGUACAUGCUAAUCCUCCAGGCAACUGGGGGCUGCUACGAUGAGACCCGACAGUCAAAGCGUAGCAGGCGUCUUCUCGAAGAUGUGCACGAUAUGGAAGCAUCAUUCGAAUUACUGCUUCCUAUUGUUUAAUGCUGUGAUGCCCUUAGAUGUUCUGGGCUGCACGCGCGCUACACUGACAGAGCCAGCGAGUACAUCACCUUGGCCGAAAGGUCUGGGUAAUCUUGUUAAACUCUGUCGUGCUGGGGAUAGAGCAUUGCAAUUAUUGCUCUUCAACGAGGAAUGCCUAGUAAGCGCAAGUCAUCAGCUUGCGUUGAUUACGUCCCUGCCCUUUGUACACACCGCCCGUCGCUACUACCGAUUGAAUGGCUCAGUGAGGCCUUGGGACUGGCUCAGAAAGGUCGGCAACGACCAUUCAGAGCCGGAAACUUGGUCAAACUUGGUCAUUUAGAGGAAGUAAAAGUC